rnacentral:rRNA from 1 species
CGUAAUAGCUCACUGGUCGAGUCGGCCUGCGCGGAAGAUGUAACGGGGCUAAACCAUGCACCGAAGCUGCGGCAGCGACGCUGAUGCGUUGUUGGGUAGGGGAGCGUUCUGUAAGCCUGUGAAGGUGUGUCGUGAGGCAUGCUGGAGGUAUCAGAAGUGCGAAUGCUGACAUAAGUAACGAUAAAGCGGGUGAAAAGCCCGCUCGCCGGAAGAC